UUGAGCUUGCUGCGGGGAAACUCGCACGGCGAGUUCUCAGAGGGCGGGGAGCCGGUGACGGCUUCUUGCUACCCGAC
rnacentral:ncRNA from 1 species